rnacentral:rRNA from 1 species
UACGGGGGGGGCAAGCGUUGUUCGGAAUUACUGGGCGUAAAGGGCUCGUAGGCGGCCAACUAAGUGGAACGUGAAAGCCCCCGGCUUACCCGGGGAUCUGCAUCCCAAACUGGUUGGCUUGAGUACGGGAGAGGAUAGGGGAAUUCCUGGUGUAGCGGUGAAAUGCGUAGAUAUCGGGAGGAACACCUGCGGCGAAGGCGGGUAGCUGGGCCGACACUGACGCUGAGGCGCGAAAGCCAGGGGAGCGAACGGG